GUGGGGAAUCUUCCGCAAUGGGCGAAAGCCUGACGGAGCAACGCCGCGUGAGUGAAGAAGGUUUUCGGAUCGUAAAGCUCUUUCGUUAGGGACGAACGUGCUCUUUGUGAAUAAUGAGGAGUAAUGACGGUACCUAAAUAAGAAGCCACGGCUAACUACGUGCCAGCAGCCGCGGUAAUACGUAGGUGGCAAGCGUUGUCCGGAAUUAUUGGGCGUAAAGCGCGCGCAGGCGGGAUAUCAAGUCUGUCUUAAAAGUGCGAGGCUCAACCUCGUGAGGGGACAGAAACUGGUAUUCUUGAGUGUCGGAGAGGAAAGUGGAAUUCCAAGUGUAGCGGUGAAAUGCGUAGAGAUUUGGAAGAACACCAGUGGCGAAGGCGACUUUCUGGACGAUGUCUGACGCUGAGGCGCGAAAGCUAGGGGAGCGAACGGGAUUAGAAACCCUGGUAGUCC
rnacentral:rRNA from 1 species